UUAUUCCCUUUCUGUGUGCAUCGUAUGUUUGUUCAAGAUGGUGUGAUAGAGCAAAAUUAGAGAAAAUUACGAAGAGCGAAACUGCAGUGGAACCAGAUGACGUCAAGUUAAUGGCGCACUGUAUUUUACGUUUGUAUACGUUAUACUUCAAGACAAACUUAGAAACUGGGAAAUAUUUUUGAUGAAGAAAAAGAAAAUUUACCUGUUUGAGUGAUUUGUUUUUGCCUGGCUUGAUGUGCGUCAAGACAAACUUAGAAACUAGGAAAUAUUUUGAUGGAGAAAAAGAAACUUUUCCUAUUUGAGUGAUUUGUUUUUGCCUUGCUUGAUGUGCUUCACAACAAACUUAGAAACUAGGAAAUAUUUUGAUGAAGAAAAAGAAAACUUACCUAUUUGAAGCAAUAUGAGCUGUAUCUUUGAGAAAUUUAUUUUGCUGGUAAAAUGUGCUAUUAUGAUUAAUUUGUAUGUAAUUUAAAUCCUUAUGACCAA